AAAAAGGUAAGCUAAAGAAGCUUCUGGGUUCAUACCUCAUUUAUAAGGGUUUUACUCCCUUUCUUUUUA
rnacentral:tRNA from 1 species